AGAGUUUGAUCCUGGCUCAGGACGAACGCUGGCGGCGUGCCUAAUACAUGCAAGUCGAGCGAAGUUUUUCUGGUGCUUGCACUAGAAAAACUUAGCGGCGAACGGGUGAGUAACACGUAAAGAACCUGCCUCAUAGACUGGGACAACUAUUGGAAACGAUAGCUAAUACCGCAUAAUAGUAGAUGUUGCAUGACAUUUGCUUAAAAGGUGCAAUUGCAUCACUACCAGAUGGACCUGCGUUGUAUUAGCUAGUUGGUGGGGUAACGGCUCACCAAGGCGACGAUACGUAGCCGACCUGAGAGGGUGAUCGGCCACUCUGGGACUGAUACCCGGCCCAAACUCUUACGGGAGGCAGCAGUAGGGAAUCUUCGGCAAUGGACGGAAGUCUGACCGAGCAACGCCGCGUGAGUGAAGAAGGUUUUCGGAUCGUAAAGCUCUGUUGUAAGAGAAGAACGAGUGUGAGAGUGGAAAGUUCACACUGUGACGGUAUCUUACCAGAAAGGGACGGCUAACUACGUGCCAGCAGCCGCGGUAAUACGUAGGUCCCGAGCGUUGUCCGGAUUUAUUGGGCGUAAAGCGAGCGCAGGCGGUUAGAUAAGUCUGAAGUUAAAGGCUGUGGCUUAACCAUAGUACGCUUUGGAAACUGUUUAACUUGAGUGCAAGAGGGGAGAGUGGAAUUCCAUGUGUAGCGGUGAAAUGCGUAGAUAUAUGGAGGAACACCGGUGGCGAAAGCGGCUCUCUGGCUUGUAACUGACGCUGAGGCUCGAAAGCGUGGGGAGCAAACAGGAUUAGAUACCCUGGUAGUCCACGCCGUAAACG
rnacentral:rRNA from 1 species